GACGAACGCUGGCGGCGUGCUUAACACAUGCAAGUCGAACGGAAAGGCCCUGCUUUUGUGGGGUGCUCGAGUGGCGAACGGGUGAGUAACACGUGAGUAACCUGCCCUUGACUUUGGGAUAACUUCAGGAAACUGGGGCUAAUACCGGAUAGGAGCUCCUGCUGCAUGGUGGGGGGUGGAAAGUUUCGGCGGGUGGGGAUGGACUCGCGGCUUAUCAGCUUGUUGGUUGGGUAGGGGCUUACCAAGGCUUUGACGGGUAGCCGGCAUGAGAGGGUGACCGGCCACAUUGGGACUGAGAUACGGCCCAGACUCCUACGGGAGGCAGCAGUGGGGAAUAUUGCACAAUGGGAGGAAGCCUGAUGCAGCAACGCCGCGUGCGGGAUGACGGCCUUCGGGUUGUAAACCGCUUUCGCCUGUGACGAAGCGUGAGUGACGGUAAUGGGUAAAGAAGCACCGGCUAACUACGUG
rnacentral:rRNA from 1 species